rnacentral:tRNA from 1 species
GGUUUUGGCUCAGUGGUAGAGCGCUCGCCUAGCAUUUGGAGGCCCUGGGUUCAAUCCUCAGCACCA